ensembl:snoRNA SNORD83 Small nucleolar RNA SNORD83
GCCACAUGAUGUGAUCUAGAUUGCAUGAGCAUUACUGCAAAGAUGACCGUCUAUCUAUCACCCAAGACUGAUGGCU